rnacentral:rRNA from 1 species
GCGCAUGCAGGUGGUUUGUUAAGUCAGAUGUGAAAGCCCGGGGCUCAACCUCGGAAUUGCAUUUGAAACUGGCAAACUAGAGUACUGUAGAGGGGGUAGAAUUUCAGGUGUAGCGGUGAAAUGCGUAGAGAUCUGAAGGAAUACCGGUGGCGAAGGCGGCCCCCCUGGACAGAUACUGACACUCAGAUGCGAAAGCGUGGGGAGCAAACAGGAUUAGAUACCCUGGUAG